rnacentral:rRNA from 1 species
GAAUUUUAUAUUAAAAUAUUUUAGGUUAGUUUAAUUUAAAUAUAUAUAGUAUUUAGUUGGGAGGAUUAUUAAAUUUAAAAAACUUUAAUAUUUAAUUACAUAGAUUAAUGAAUUAUAUAAAUAAAGAUUGAUUUUAAAAUGAAUAAAGAGUAAAUUACCUUAGGGAUAACAGCGUAAUAUUUUUAGAGAGAUCAUAUUAAUAAAAAUUAUUGC